GCUCUCUUUUAACAAUUAACAUGCAUGUACAUAAUUCUGUAUGGACCGAAAUAAGCAUGCAUUUAGUCUUUUAAAUCAUUUUACAAUUAGUAGGAGGGUUUAAAAAGGAGUUUCAAAACUUUAAAGGGUUAAACGUGUAAAGUUCUAAAAUAUCUGGGUCAAAUUAAACAACUUUUUAAAGAGCGAGUGAUCCUAACGGACAAUUCACAGCGUCUAAUCGGCCCUCAUUCUCAAUGAAGAUGCAACUCUACGCCGGUGGUCAUCCCAUUUUACCGCCGACGGUUAUAAUCACCGGAGAAUACAUCAGGUCACUGUAUAUAGCUCUUACCCUACGCUCCAUUCUCACCUCUUGCAUCAGUAUGAAGCAACAAAACAAAAAUUCUCUUUACUCUUCAGUAGUUCAUGAUUAUCCAAACACUCAUGAAUCAUUCAAGCUACAAAUGUCUCAAAGACAAGUAAGCCAAGAUACGAUACCCAACAGCCAUGGCUGCUAGGGCACCAACUUCCUUCAAUCCACUGUCUAAUUCAAUCCCCUCAAUUACAGAGCUGAUAUGUUCAUACUGCACUUUUAGAAGAAGUCUGUAGGUGUGAUAGUUGAAUGACAAGUAACUUAACCAAGAAAUGAACACUGGAACAUUCUGCAAUAAAAAGAAACAAAAAGAAAACAUUCUUUUAGCAUUUCAUACAAUCAUAUUAAGUUCUAUAAGAGUUUAGUUUAUAAUCUGUUAGUGAUUUAUUUUAAUGUCUACCUUUACAAAAAACCCUCCAGCCAACAUGAAAGCCAUUACAGUUACAGAAGCUAAAGUUGUUGCUUUGUUUAAGUCCAUAACUGCAGCACCAAUAGCUAAUCCAAGACCCUGCCAUUUUAGUUAUAUAUAUAUAAUGUUAUAUUAUAUUAUGUAAAUGAAGUUUAUAAAUAUGUAAAAUUUAUAUACCUGAGCUGAAACAAUGCAUAGAAAGACUAUAAGCAUGGUUAGGAAAAAUGAUUGAGCAGUGAGUCUGAGUCCUCCCAUGAAAUAAACAAUUAAGAGGAAAAUGAUUGGGAGAAGAAGAUCAAGUGGAAGGUCACUUGUUGUUCUUGCUAGGAAAUAUGCACUAAGCUUAUACAUGUCAGCUGCUCUUUCCUUUUUCAACAUUGCUCUUUCUUGAGGGAAUGUGAAUAUAGCUGUAAAAACCGGGAAAAACGCCCAAAACACCGCAAUGAAGAAGAGCAGCCCUGCCUGCAAAAAAAAAUAUGACCGUUUUACCCUUAGGUGGAUUGUGGAAUAACAAAACAACAUUUGUUUAUUAAUAAAUUUUCUCGGGACUCUCUCUUGUCCUCUCUUUUCCAAAAAGAAAAAAAAAACAUUUCUUAUAUAUGAUUGAAAAUGACCAUUUUACCCCUUGGGUACACUUACAAAACUACAUGCCUUAGCCCUUAUGAAGUACUAGUAGUAACUAGUAAGGGUAUUUGUGGGUAGUGGCAUUGUUUUUUCAAAAAAUUGAAACUUUUUAUACCUGAUUGAACAUGACCAUUUUACCCUUGGGUACAAUUAGAAAAACAACAUUCCUUAUGGAGUAAUAAUGAUAUUUAUGUGUCGUGGUAUUUUUUUUUUUCAAAAAAUGUAAACUUUUUAUACCUGAUUGAAAAUGACCAUUUUACCCUUGGGUACAAUUAGAAAAACAACAUUUCGUAUGGAGUAAUAAUGAUAUUUGUGUGUCUUGACAUUUUUUUUUUUUCAAAAUGGCAACUUGUUAUACGGGAUUGAAAAUGACCAUUUUACCCUUUGGGUACAAUUAGAAAACAACAAUCCUUAUGAAGUAGUAAUGGUAUUUAUGUCUCUUGGUAGAGAUGGAAACUUUUCAUAUACCUGAUUUUGCAAAUCUUUGGGGGUAUGAACAUCGGAUUGCCACCAAAGAAGCCCUAAAAUGAUUGCGGUUGCUACAAUUUGUGUGAUUCUCAACCAACUAAAAUAAUCAUGUCGCCUUUCUUUAAUCCCUCUCAUGAACAAUAUCAAGUAUUGUUCUCUCCAACUUGCCCCCCAUUCUCGUUUUUGAAACGUCUUUUCUUGAUCGAGUGAUGUUUGAGUCCUAAGUCUCUUUUUCGUUUCUUCCCCAACAUGACUCAUACAUGCCUCCACUAGAUACUACAAAACAUAAUCAUUCUUAAAACAAUCUAAUUUAAGUUUUUCUUAAAUGUUUUAAAUCAUAAUUAUUAUUAUUAAAGUUACCUCAUGCACGAUUGAUGGAGAGGGUUUCCCAUUUGUUGUUUCUCUUCCUGAAUUUCCCAAAUGUACUCUAUCCUCUAAUUCAGGUGGAACAGAAACAUCAUUCAUGUUCCCAUUUGCAAGAUCUAACAAGAAUUCCGCUGGAUUCAUAGCGAUUAAAGGAGAACAUCCGAUUGAUGAAAAAUACACCAUAGCUUCUGAAGCUUUCCCAAAAUACAACAAGCUCCCUUUUCCAAGUAGGAUUAAUUUGUCAAAUUUAUGGAAAAGUCGACUCGAUGGUUGGUGUAUAGUUGUAACCACUGUCUUAUCAUUCUGUUAUAAACAUAUAAACAAAUUAAUCAAUACUUUUUAUAUAGAAUUCAUGAAAAUCACAUCAUUUUUGGGAAAAACAAGAAUUUGUGAAAUAUGAGAAAAAACGAUUCCGAGAAUUAGCAAACUUUUCUUUCAUGAGAUAUGUGGUAUGUUUUGUAAUUAAUUCUUCGUUAAAUAUAUAAACAAGUAGGGACUUGAAUUAAAUAAUCAUACCUCAGCUAUGUCUUGUAAUAGUUCAAUUACUCUCAAAGAAGUUGUUGAAUCCAAACCAGAAGUGGGUUCAUCAAGAAACAAAAGGGAAGGGUUGAUUAUGAUUUCAUUUCCAAUGGAAACACGUUUUCUUUCUCCACCUGAAACUCCCCGAAUAAAGGAGUUUCCUAUCAUAGUAUCUUGACACCUGUUUUAAGGUAUAUUAUUAGAGGAACCAUAUAUCAAUUUCAUAAUAAUAUGUCCAUUUUAGAAGAGUGCGAGUGUAAUUAAUAGUUGACUUGAGAGAUUAGUCUAUGUGAUUCUAAUAAUUUGUCUCUCUCUAUAGGCAUGUGGUUUUUCUCUGGUUUUGGAGUUUUCCACGUAUAUUCCUAUGUUCAGUUUUCUUUAUUAUUAUUUUUCAUUGGCAAUCUUUGAGACCAUUUUCCCAACACUUUCGAUAAUAUCUUGAAAAUACGAGUUAAUUACCUCUCCAAACCAAGUUCAUAUAUAACAUCUUCUGCUCGUUUUUCCUUCUCUUGUUUUGUUAGUGUCUUAGAUAGUCGUAAAAGAGCCGCAUAUGUUAUAGUUUCCUUCACAGUUAAAUGAGGGAACAACACGUCAUCUUGCGUCACAAACCCAAUCCUGCCAAGAUCACAUUUUAUAAAAUUUUCAAAAAGCCAAUAAGCUAAAAAAAUGUUUGGUAAAGACUAACUUUUUAGACAAAAAAUGACUUUUUCAAAAGGUCAGGAAUACCUAGCUUUUCUAAAAAACCAAUAAAUUCAUCCCAACUUUUUGAAAAAAAAAUGUACCUGCUCUUUAGGAGCUUUGAAUACGGCUUGUCAUUAUAAGUAACUGAUCCACCUAACGUAUGCUCUGUCAACCGCCCGCCAAGCAAACUUAGGAGGGUAGUUUUGCCACUUCCCGAUGGCCCCAUGAGGGCCAAAACUUCACCUGGAUUAACCGAACCAUUUAUUCCAUUUAAAAUAUAUUUCUCUUGGGUUGAUGUCACUCCUUUGGUUAUUAUCUUGUAUGUCACUUCCGUAAA